GGUUGCGAUCAUACCAGCACUAAUGCACCAGAUCCCAUCUGGACUCCAUAGUUAAGCGUGCUUGGGUGAGAGUAGUACUAGGAUGGGUGACCCCCUGGGAAGUCCUCGUGUUGCAACUC
rnacentral:rRNA from 1 species